AAUCCAGUGGCGGGUCUCGCCGCAGCCUCUCCUGCGCAGUAGUUUGCACACUCGCACCGGGAGCGCGGCGCGUCCACAGCCGUUAAACACCCAACUUUCUGAAAUGUUGACCUCGGAUCAGGUAGGAAUACCCGCUGAACUUAAGCAUAUCAAUAAGCGGAGGAAAAGAAACCAACAGGGAUUGCCCCAGUAACGGCGAGUGAAGCGGCAACAGCUCAAAUUUGAAAUCUGGCCCCUAGGGUCCGAGUUGUAAUUUGUAGAGGAUGCUUUUGGUGAGGUGCCGCCCGAGUUCCCUGGAACGGGACGCCACAGAGGGUGAGAGCCCCGUCUGGCUGGCCGCCGAGCCUCUGUAAAGCUCCUUCGACGAGUCGAGUAGUUUGGGAAUGCUGCUCAAAAUGGGAGGUAUAUGUCUUCUAAAGCUAAAUAUUGGCCAGAGACCGAUAGCGCACAAGUAGAGUGAUCGAAAGAUGAAAAGCACCUUGAAAAGAGGGUUAAAUAGUACGUGAAAUUGUUGAAAGGGAAGCGCUUGUGACCAGACUUGGGCGCGGCGGAUCAUCCGGGGUUCUCUCCGGUGCACUUCGCCGCGUCUAGGCCAGCAUCAGUCCGUCGCGGGGGAAAAAGGCUUCGGGAACGUGGCUCCUCCGGGAGUGUUAUAGCCCGUUGCACAAUACCCUGCGGUGGACUGAGGACCGCGCAUCUGCAAGGAUGCUGGCGUAAUGGUCACCAGCGACCCGUCUUGAAACACGGACCAAGGAGUCGUCUUCGUAUGCGAGUGUUCGGGUGUCAAACCCCUACGCGUAAUGAAAGUGAACGCAGGUGAGAGCUUCGGCGCAUCAUCGACCGAUCCUGAUGUUCUCGGAUGGAUUUGAGUAAGAGCAUACGGGGCCGGACCCGAAAGAAGGUGAACUAUGCCUGUAUAGGGUGAAGCCAGAGGAAACUCUGGUGGAGGCUCGCAGCGGUUCUGACGUGCAAAUCGAUCGUCAAAUAUGGGCAUGGGGCGAAAGACUAUCGA
rnacentral:rRNA from 1 species